rnacentral:lncRNA from 1 species
UUCUAGCAACUAGGUGUCGCAACCCGAAAAAUACAGAGGUGCGAAAAAACAACCGGCGAAGAAAGAUGACAGAAGAGUCGCCACCGUGCGUUAUUUAUCCCAAAGGAGGGAAAGGAAACGCUCGAAGUAAACCUGAAGAGAAGGAAAGGAAAAGACAAGGUCUCGCAACCAAAUCUUGGGUUCGGGAGUCGAUUAUGCGAAGGGAAGGUAUUAGCACCCCUACG